rnacentral:tRNA from 1 species
UCCUUGGUGGCUCAGACGGUAAAGAAUCUGCCUGCAAUGCAGGAGACCCAGGUUCAAUCCCUGGGUCAGGAA